GGCAGAUGCUGUGAGGCCUCGCCCAGCUCCACUCCCACUCCCGCUUCCUCAGGCCUACACAUUCUGGGACUCUGGCUGAGGGAUUUCUCUGUCUGUGGAAACUUGCUGGCCUACAGGCUGGGCAGACUUGCCGGAGGUCGGUUCUCUCCACCGGUGACAGAGGGAAUUGGCCAACUCGUCCCCCAGCUUCCUCACCCAGGCUGGGAGGUCAAGGCCAGGCAAGGUCUACACCAUCUCCUAGAGGUCCCCCGUGGGAAUGGGAGCAUCUGUCUACACAGUAACCUGCCAUCCCAUGCACUUUGAAUUUGCUUCCUUCUCUCAUCAGCCACUUAAAUCCACGGUGGGUAGGAAGUGUUAGAAAGAGAGAACAUCAGAGAAAAAGUGCCUCCUUUAGGACCUCAUCGAGCCCAAUCCAAGAGAAGAGCAGACCUUGGUAUUAGAUCGUUGGUCUCCAGGGACUCCCAGUUACUGCCUUAAGAUGUCAGUGUCUGUAUACGUUGCCUGGCUAGUAAACUUUGGAGGAAUUGAUGAACCGCUGUGUCUGGGCUUUUCAUUUCUUUGGCCUGAGUCCUGCCAGGUCUUUGUUGUCUCCCACAGGGCCUUUCAUACAUGUGCCCAAGAAUGCGUUGAUCUACUUUGAUCUCCUAUUGUGUAAGAAGAUUUCCUCCGGGAAAGGACGAGCAGUGAAUUCAUGAAACUUGGCACGGAUUUUGAUCUCAAUUUAUAGAUGGGAACACCUAUAAAAUGAAGAGGGUUGGGCCAGUCUGUGAGGCCAGUUCUAGCUCAAAAUCCUGGCAUCCUCUAAGAUGUGGAAGAGUGAGGUCAGAGGGAGGCGGCCAGCUGCUGGCAGCGCCGGGCAGCUGGGCACUGGGGCCCAGGGCUCUUCAGAGACCAUGUCAGAAUUCCCGUUUUGCCAUCACCAAGAUGUACACCCAAAGGCACAUUCCACAGUACUGCCCCUGGGUGUGUAGGCAAAUAUUGAUUUAAAUCAUUGAAUGAGUUAGUAUUUGCUGAGAACCUUCUACAGACAGUGAGCUGAGGGGCGGUGUCAGGAGGGGUACAAAAGGUGACUACAUCAGGACCCUUGCCCUCAAGGAGGUCGGGGCCCUGUCUGCAGCAGGCUGUGUGGCCCUGCACACACAGCCACCUCCUUAUUUCCUCAUCUGUGAAACGAAGGAAAUGAAACCAAUUUUGCUUGUUAUGAGAAUUAGAGAUAAUAUAGGUAAAGCUUGUUGGACUACUUCUAGGAUCGGAUUGUUAUUAAGAAAUAGGUUUUAUAGGUCAAGUUCCCAGCACAGUGCCUAACACUUGGUAGGUAUUAAAUAACUGGUACUGUAAGGGAGCAGAAUUUACCACCCCCAAAUAGGUCUCUUUGGUAUAACGAUUAUUUUAGGCUGGUUGUUUUUAUUUUUUAAUUUUUUCUUUUUUUCUAUAUCGAAGUAUAGUUGAUUUACAAUGUUGUGUUAGUUUCAGGUGUACAGCAA